UACGUAGGGGGCAAGCGUUGUCCGGAAUCAUUGGGCGUAAAGAGCGCGUAGGCGGCCCAGUCAGUCCGCUCUGAAAGUCAGGGCUUAACCCCUGAAUGCGGGUGGAUACUGCUGGGCUAGAGUCCGGAAGAGGCGAGUGGAAUUCCUGGUGUAGCGGUGAAAUGCGCAGAUAUCAGGAGGAACACCGAUGGCGAAGGCAGCUCGCUGGGACGGUACUGACGCUGAGGCGACGAAAGCGUGGGGAGCAAACAGG
rnacentral:rRNA from 1 species